ensembl:lncRNA
GUUGGGACGUGUGGGGGGGUGCUUCACUCAAAACGUUCACCUAAAUGUGGAAUUCUUUCCUCCAAGCUGCGGAGUCCUGUUUGCAAAGGGAGGAGGAGAUGGGGGUGUUGCAGUGUGAGAGCAGUUAGUGUGUGACCCGCCCAUGUGACCUGCCUGUUGCUGAGAGCGAUGGCAGGUACUAAGGAGCAGGUCAACAAGGCAACGGUGGUUGCUAUGGAGCAGGUCGUCAUGGCGGUGGUUCGGGCUGUCAGUUGGUGUAUGAGGUGGUGUGGUGAGGUACGUUCACAGGGACCACAGGCAGAUGCACUGUGGUGUCCUCCGCCUCUCACAAAGGGAACGGACCCCGAGGUUUGUUUUUCAAAUAUGCCCGAGUGUAAGAGACUUGUUAGAGCUAGUUUUGGGGAGAGGAAGCGUGUUUUUGUUUUUUAACUAUUGUGACAAUAAAUAGAAAUGUUAGGCUUAUUAAGAGAAAUUAAUGUCCAUAGAGCCAGUUUGAUGUGUCAGGAGAAAGAUCAGUACAGAAUUACAUGUUAUAAUCCAGGUCAGCUGCAGGAGUUGAUGUAACUUCUGGGUUUGGCUCUUGCUAACUCUGUUCUGUCUUUCCUUCCAGAUCUCAAAUGAUUGAUGCUAUGCUGAGGACAUCAGGAAGAGUCUCAGAUUGAAGUGGACUCAAAUAUUGCCACUGAAUGCAGACUCAAAGGCGCAGUUGUGUAGCAGUUGAAUAAUGCUGGUUAGCUGUUAAGAUGCGGUGCAGUGCGGUGGUGACAUGGUGUGGCGUGUUGCGGUGCUGAGUGCCCGGUGUGUUCCGGGGCUCGACCCUCCGCUGCUGUUUGCCGGUUUGUAAGCUCACAGGUGUGGCAGAUCAUCCAUCCUCUCCUGUCUUGUGACUUCACCUUCCCUCCAUGUGCUGUACAGAUCCUCUUCUUUCUUUUCUUUUUAUUCUCCCUCCUCCUUCCCCCCCCCCCCCCCCCCCCCCCCCCCUUGCUCCUCUCUAUGGUUUAUCAACUGUUGAUAACUGGUCUUGGUCUUUGAAAGUGGUUCCAGUGGGACUCUUAGUUGAAGGGUUUCAAGGGCAGUUCUGCCUGCUUCAUGAUGUGUAUUGCAUUCCUCUGUGAACCUCUCAAAUGUCUUGUAAGUGCUUACGGUGAAUGCUAAUAAACAUUUUUGUUUAAAAUAAAUUCAUUUCUCACACUUUGUGCUUGUUUAGAGUCUAUAUUGCUGCUGAGCAAUAUAGAACUCCAGUUAAAAGCUACAGUGUUUGACUUUUUUCUUUCUGGGUUUUUUUUUUUUUUUUUUUUUUUUGUGCUUCCACUGACUGUGCCAUUUAUUGGGAACAGCAGUCAUUAUCAGUAAAGAUUUUCAGUGGUUAACACGUCUGCCUCGCAUGCAAAAGUUCCUCAGGACGUGCGACACCCCCAGCCUCAGCUAGGUGGAGGUGUUGUAUCCAUCAUAUAAUCUGUCACAAGUCAAAGACACUGAUCCAUCGAUAUCUGACAACUCAAAGUGUUUAUAUCAACAGACGGUUUUGAUUUAAGAUACUUGAUAACAAUCUGAUGGGUGUUUUGUUUUUGUUUUGUUUUGUUUUUUGUGUGUGUGUGUGUGUGUGUAUGACCAUCACUGUGUAGUAUGUUUUAAUUGUUAGCUAAUAUCUAUCUACAAUAGAAAUGCGACACUUUGUCUUGAAAGCAUUGCUAAGCCUGUGGAAAUAUGCUAAAAUGAAUUGUUCACACAAAUGGGAAGGCUGACACUGACACUACCUCAGAGGAUAAAUACAGCAGUUGAUAACCUUCAAAGCUGGCUCCAUGUUACAGAUAAACUAUUGGGCCCAAAAACUUGAUCUGUGGACUUGCCUAUAAGCAGCUGAUAAAUAACUGAGCCAAUAUAAACACUCCCAAGAGGAGCAGGAGUUGGUGGUCUUGUAGCAAAUAAAUGAUUUAAACUUCCUUUGAUGUACAUAAUUUUGAAUUUAUAUCAAAACAGAAAAUAAAAUUAAUAUAAACAGAUAUUUAAUGUUUAAUUAUGCACUCUGAAAUGGAUUUGGGUGUAAAACAUAGGCUCCAUAAUUAAUCCCAGCAGUUGUUGAUGGGGUGCUUAUAAUUGUAAAACCAUAACAAUUAUAAUGCUUCAUGUAAGCCAAGAUGGGCAUGGAAAAGUUAAAGUGGGUGAACUCUGCUAAAGUUAAUGUCAACAUUUUAUUUUGCAACUACAGUUUUG